rnacentral:rRNA from 1 species
UCCGGUGGCCUUAGCGAGAGAGAAACACCCGUUCCCAUCCCGAACACGGAAGUUAAGCCUCUCAGCGCCGAUGGUACUGCGAUAGAGAUGUCGUGGGAGAGUAGGACGCCGCCGGGA